rnacentral:rRNA from 1 species
UACGUAGGGGGCAAGCGUUGUCCGGAUUUAUUGGGCGUAAAGAGCGUGUAGGCGGCCGUACAGGUCAGCUGUGAAAACUCGAGGCUCAACCUCGAGACGUCGGUUGAAACCGUACGGCUAGAGUCCGGAAGAGGAGAGUGGAAUUCCCGGUGUAGCGGUGAAAUGCGCAGAUAUCGGGAAGAACACCCGUGGCGAAGGCGGCUCUCUGGGACGGUACUGACGCUGAGACGCGAAAUCGUGGGGAGCAAACAGG